rnacentral:rRNA from 1 species
AUUGAACGCUGGCGGCAGGCCUAACACAUGCAAGUCGAGCGGAGCGGCGGACGGGUGAGUAAUGCCUAGGAAUAUGCCUGGUAGUGGGGGAUAAAGUCCGGAAACGGGCGCUAAUACCACAUACUAUCAGAUGAGCCUAGGUCGGAUUAGCUAGUUGGGGGGGUAAAGGCAUACCAAGGCGACGAUCCGUAACUGGUCUGAGAGGAUGAUCAGGCACACUGGAACUGAGAAACGGUCCAGACUCCUACGGGAGGCAGCAGUGGGGAAUAUUGGACAAUGGGCGAAAGCCUGAUCCAGCCAGGCCGCGUGUGUGAAGAAGGUCUUCGGGUUGUAAAGCACUUUCAGCGGGGAGGCGUUACCCGCAGAAGAAGCACCGGCUAACUCCGUGCCAGCAGCCGCGGUAAUAC